rnacentral:rRNA from 1 species
AGAGUUUGAUCCUGGCUCAGGAUGAACGCUAGCGGCAGGCUUAACACAUGCAAGUCGAGGGGCAGCGAGAUUGAAGCUUGCUUCAAUUGUCGGCGACCGGCGGACGGGUGCGUAACGCGUAUGCAACCUACCCAUAACAGGGGGAUAACACUGAGAAAUUGGUACUAAUACCCCAUAACAUCUCGAGUGACAUCACUUGGGGUUGAAAGCUUCGGUGGUUAUGGAUGGGCAUGCGUUGUAUUAGCUAGUUGGUGAGGUAACGGCUCACCAAGGCGACGAUACAUAGGGGGACUGAGAGGUUAACCCCCCACACUGGUACUGAGACACGGACCAGACUCCUACGGGAGGCAGCAGUGAGGAAUAUUGGUCAAUGGACGCAAGUCUGAACCAGCCAUGCCGCGUGCAGGAUGACGGCUCUAUGAGUUGUAAACUGCUUUUGUACGAGGGUAAACGCAGAUACGUGUAUCUGUCUGAAAGUAUCGUACGAAUAAGGAUCGGCUAACUCCGUGCCAGCAGCCGCGGUAAUACGGAGGAUCCAAGCGUUAUCCGGAUUUAUUGGGUUUAAAGGGUGCGUAGGCGGUUUGAUAAGUUAGAGGUGAAAUUUCGGGGCUCAACCCUGAACGUGCCUCUAAUACUGUUGAGCUAGAGAGUAGUUGCGGUAGGCGGAAUGUAUGGUGUAGCGGUGAAAUGCUUAGAGAUCAUACAGAACACCGAUUGCGAAGGCAGCUUACCAAACUAUAUCUGACGUUGAGGCACGAAAGCGUGGGGAGCAAACAGGAUUAGAUACCCUGGUAGUCCACGCAGUAAACGAUGAUAACUCGUUGUCGGCGAUACACAGUCGGUGACUAAGCGAAAGCGAUAAGUUAUCCACCUGGGGAGUACGUUCGCAAGAAUGAAACUCAAAGGAAUUGACGGGGGCCCGCACAAGCGGAGGAACAUGUG